rnacentral:rRNA from 1 species
ACGCUAGCUACAGGCUUAACACAUGCAAGUCGAGGGGAAACGGCAUUGAGUGCUUGCACUCUUUGGACGUCGACCGGCGCACGGGUGAGUAACGCGUAUCCAACCUUCCCAUUACUGUGGGAUAACCUGCCGAAAGGCAGACUAAUACCGCAUAGUCUUCGAUGACGGCAUCAGAUUUGAAGUAAAGAUUUAUCGGUAAUGGAUGGGGAUGCGUCUGAUUAGCUUGUUGGCGGGGUAACGGCCCACUAAGGCGACGAUCAGUAGGGGUUCUGAGAGGAAGGUCCCCCACAUUGGAACUGAGACACGGUCCAAACUCCUACGGGAGGCAGCAGUGAGGAAUAUUGGUCAAUGGACGGAAGUCUGAACCAGCCAAGUAGCGUGCAGGAAGACGGCCCUAUGGGUUGUAAACUGCUUUUGUAUGGGGAUAAAGUUAGGGACGUGUCCCUAUUUGCAGGUACCAUACGAAUAAGGACCGGCUAAUUCCGUGCCAGCAGCCGCGGUAAUACGGAAGGUCCAGGCGUUAUCCGGAUUUAUUGGGUUUAAAGGGAGCGUAGGCUGGAGAUUAAGUGUGUUGUGAAAUGUAGACGCUCAACGUCUGAAUUGCAGCGCAUACUGGUUUCCUUGAGUACGCACAACGUUGGCGGAAUUCGUCGUGUAGCGGUGAAAUGCUUAGAUAUGACGAAGAACUCCGAUUGCGAAGGCAGCUGACGGGAGCGCAACUGACGCUUAAGCUCGAAGGUGCGGGUAUCAAACAGGAUUAGAUACCCUGGUAGUCCGCACAGUAAACGAUGGAUGCCCGCUGUUGGUACCUGGUAUCAGCGGCUAAGCGAAAGCAUUAAGCAUCCCACCUGGGGAGUACGCCGGCAACGGUGAAACUCAAAGGAAUUGACGGGGGCCCGCACAAGCGGAGGAACAUGUGGUUUAA